rnacentral:rRNA from 1 species
AAUACGUAGGGCGCGAGCGUUGUCGGGAAUUAUUGGGCGUAAAGAGCUCGUAGGCGGCUUGUUGCGUCGGAUGUGAAAGCCCGGGGCUUAACCCCGGGUCUGCAUUCGAUACGGGCAGGCUAGAGUUCGGUAGGGGAGAUCGGAAUUCCUGGUGUAGCGGUGAAAUGCGCAGAUAUCAGGAGGAACACCGGUGGCGAAGGCGGAUCUCUGGGCCGAUACUGACGCUGAGGAGCGAAAGCGUGGGGAGCGAACA